rnacentral:rRNA from 1 species
CCAUAGUGUGCUCUGGAAACUNUCUGACUUGAGUGCAGAAGGGGAGAGUGGAAUUCCAUGUGUAGCGGUGAAAUGCGUAGAUAUAUGGAGGAACNCCAGUGGCGAAAGCGGCUCUCUGGUCUGUCACUGACGCUGAGGCUCGAAAGCGUGGGUAGCGAACAGGAUUAGAUACCCUGGUAGUNCACGCCGUAAACGAUGAGUGCUAGGUGUUAGGCCCUUUCCGGGGCUUAGUGCCGGAGCUAACGCAAUAAGCACUCCGCCUGGGGAGUACGACCGCAAGGUUGAAACUCAAAGGAAUUGACGGGGGCCCACACAAGCGGUGGAGCAUGUGGUUUAAUUCGAAGCAACGCGAAGAACCUUACCAGGUCUUGACAUCCCGAUGCUAUUCUUAGAGAUAGGAAGUUACUUCGGUACAUCGGAGACAGGUGGUGCAUGGUUGUCGUCAGCUCGUGUCGUGAGAUGUUGGGUUAAGUCCCGCAACGAGCGCAACCCUUAUUGUUAGUUGCCAUCAUUAAGUUGGGCACUCUAGCGAGACUGCCGGUAAUAAACCGGAGGAAGGUGGGGAUGACGUCAAAUCAUCAUGCCCCUUAUGACCUGGGCUACACACGUGCUACAAUGGUCGGUACAGCGAGUUGCGAGCCGGUGACGGCAAGCUAAUCUCUGAAAGCCGAUCUCAGUUCGGAUUGGAGGCUGCAACUCGCCUCCAUGAAGUCGGAAUCGCUAGUAAUCGCGGAUCAGCACGCCGCGGUGAAUACGUUCCCGGGCCUUGUACACACCGCCCGUCACACCACGAGAGUUUGUAACACCCGAAGUCGNUGAGGUA